GACGAACCGUGCGAACGUUGUUCGGAAUCACUGGGCUUAAAGGGCGCGUAGGCGGGCUCGCAAGUCUGCGGUGAAAGCCCCCGGCUUAACCGGGGAAGGGCCGUGGAUACUGCGGGCCUCGAGGAGGGUAGGGGCGUCUGGAACAGUAGGUGGAGCGGUGAAAUGCGUUGAUAUCUACUGGAACUCCGGUGGCGAAGGCGAGGCGCUGGACCCUUUCUGACGCUGAGGCGCGAAAGCCAGGGGAGCAAACGGG
rnacentral:rRNA from 1 species